rnacentral:lncRNA from 1 species
CAAUUUAUUUCUAUUCCGUUAUAUUUGGGGUUUUCCCUUAUCUAUUUCUAUCUUUAGUAACUGUGGUUUGUAGAACAAGUUGUAAAACAAGUUUGAAGAACUGGUUGGAUAGUAUCUAUAUAUAAGUCUUUAGUGAGUACUGCACGAGCAUUUCAUAGGCGGGAAUACGGGUGGGGUAUAUAAGUCCGAUACUUGGAUAAUUUGUAUCGAGGUUCUCACAGUAACUUCAAAGUAACAACACGUUCUGCAUAGUAUAUUAUUUUUAUUUAUUUAUAAUGAUUUAGUUUGGAAUAGCUAGAUGUGUAUUUGCUGGGAUAUAUUUGUAAUGUCUUAUUAUCAUAAUUAAAUGUUGUAUCGCACAGAAAAUAAGAAGUUACUGCGAGCAAACCAAACCUACAUUUUGACUUGCCUCUUAUUUCGCCAUGUAGAUAGAUUAGAAAUGUUUUAAAUUCGGACGAAUUUAUGAGGGAGAAUUUAAAA